AGUGAACGCUGGCGGCAGGCCUAACACAUGCAAGUCGAACGGCAGCACAGUAAGAGCUUGCUCUUACGGGUGGCGAGUGGCGGACGGGUGAGGAAUACAUCGGAAUCUACUUUUUCGUGGGGGAUAACGCAGGGAAACUUACGCUAAUACCGCAUACGACCUACGGGUGAAAGCAGGGGAUCUUCGGACCUUGCGCGAUUGAAUGAGCCGAUGUCGGAUUAGCUAGUUGGCGGGGUAAAGGCCCACCAAGGCGACGAUCCGUAGCUGGUCUGAGAGGAUGAUCAGCCACACUGGAACUGAGACACGGUCCAGACUCCUACGGGAGGCAGCAGUGGGGAAUAUUGGACAAUGGGCGCAAGCCUGAUCCAGCCAUACCGCGUGGGUGAAGAAGGCCUUCGGGUUGUAAAGCCCUUUUGUUGGGAAAGAAAAGCAGCAGGUUAAUACCCCGCUGUUCUGACGGUACCCAAAGAAUAAGCACCGGCUAACUUCGUG
rnacentral:rRNA from 1 species